GAUGAAGAACGCAGCGAAAUGCGAUACGUAGUGUGAAUUGCAGAAUUCAGUGAAUCAUCGAAUCUUUGAACGCACAUUGCGCCCUUUGGUAUUCCAAUGGGCAUGCCUGUUCGAGCGUCAUUUGUACCCUCAAGCUUUGCUUGGUGUUGGGCGUCUUGUCUCCAGUCCGCUGGAGACUCGCCUUAAAGUCAUUGGCAGCCGGCCUACUGGUUUCGGAGCGCAGCACAAGUCGCACUCUUUUCCAGCCAAGGUCAGUGUCCAACAAGCCUUUUUUCAACUUUUGACCUCGGAUCAGGUAGGGAUACCCGCUGAACUUAAGCAUAUCAAUAAGCGGAGGA
rnacentral:misc_RNA from 1 species